CGUUUCUGUGGGGACAGGGAUCCUACUUUUUCUCCCCAGUGGAACUUCUUGCACCAGGACCUGAGUCUACUGUCUUCCAUCCGACCUGACCCUGGAGUUUGAAGUGUGGGGCCAACUUGCCGGUUUCGGUUGGGACUUUGCUUCGAAUGGUGUGCCUGCUGCCAGGCGAGAAGCGUUCAGGUGUGUCAGGUACAGGAUUUCUCCCCGGCUCACUCGCCAAGCGCUGCGAGAUGUGCACCACUGUAGCUUCUUUUGGAGGGUCACACUUAAUCUCUUGUCAGCACUCGGAGCCUUUCAGAGCCGAGGAGAAAACCAUUCUUGCAACUUGCUUUCAAUCAAACAGGGCUUCACUCAGCUUGAUAAUGGACCCCUACUAACUCCUGAAUGCUUCAGAAAUGAAGUUCACUCUUGAAAGACAUGGGCCUCACCCCAGGCCUGUUCCCAGUCUGUGUGGAGGAGCCUACGGGCUGUAGUAGGUGCACCCCAGAGUUGGGGCACCCUCACAGGUCCCCCACCCAAGCACAGGGCACUCCUGCCAGCAGGCAGCACACACAAGCCUGUGACCAGACCAGGCUCAGAAGCUGAGGGGGAGCUGCAGAGGUGUUCCGGACAGGCAGCCUCCACCUGAGGACCCCCUGGGGCUCUGUGCACCAGCAAAGUUGGGGUGACCAACAAGCGGCCUGGGGUGGAGGGUGGUGGGAACGGUGCAGAAGUUUCUCAUCCUCACUCCGGGACCUGCAGGCUCAGCCUGGCAAGAAGCUGUUCUCACAAGCCUGGCUCAGCUGCCCUGACUUUCCUCACAGGAGUCGAGAAGCACAGAGGCCAUGCUGUCCAGGACAAGACGCAGGCUGGAAAGACUGCACGAUGUAAAGCCGACCUUCUGUUUUGGCGCUUCUCUCUGGAAACCUCUUGAUGACAAACCUAGACCUGUGUCUGAGGCAGUCACAGCCUGAAGAAGAGACCCAGCCACGGGACUGUGGCCCCUCUGGACCACACAGGCCACCAGGAAGGAGUGGGGGUGGCAGCAGCUUUCCUCUUGUCUUCAGAAGAAAACAGAAUGAAGAUAUAUGGCAACUAGACAGACGGCAAUCCCAAACAACAGUGGCGUCCGUUCUGGACUUACCUGCACUUGGAGGCUCGGAAGAGGACACGAAGCCAUGGCAACACAACGACAGUUCGGACGUGUCAACGGCCAGUGUUGCAGCCGGCACCUCUGGGCAGGGCUUGAUGGCUGCUCGCACAGGGAAGCCCCUGCACACACAGGUACCCCCCCCCCCCACCCCGCCACAGGCGUGGGCAUCUCCUCGAAGGGCAGGCACUGGCCCCUUCCAGCCUGGGGCUCUAUGCCCCGGCACCUCCCCACAUCACCUCUGCCCAGGGAAAUCUAGUUUCCCACCUGCAUCCAGACUCAGGCCAGUUGAGCUGGACUAG
rnacentral:lncRNA from 1 species